CCCGUAACCCACUACAGGGAGGGGAAUAACACGUUGGAAACAGGUGCUAAUACCGCUAAUAACUAGUUAUGCCGCAUGGCAUAAGAGUGAAAGGCGCUUUCGGGUGUCGCUGAUGGAUGGACCCGCGGUGCAUUAGCUAGUUGGUGAGGUAACGGCUCACCAAGGCCACGAUGCAUAGCCGACCUGAGAGGGUGAUCGGCCACACUGGGACUGAGACACGGCCCAG
rnacentral:rRNA from 1 species